rnacentral:rRNA from 1 species
GACGUGAGGGGCGAGCGUUACUCGGAAUCACUGGGCGUAAAGGACACGCAGGCGGCCAUACAAGUCAAGUGUUAAAGACCGAGGCUUAACCUCGGGAAGGCACUUGAUACUGUAUGGCUUGGUGCUAGGGGAGGGAGGUGGAAUGCCCGGUGUAAGGGUAAAAUCUGUAGAUAUCGGGUAGAACGCCGAAGGCGAAGGCAGCCUCCUAUCCUAGUCACGACGCUCAGGUGUGAAAGCUGGGGGAGAAAACAGG